GAAACGGGGGCUAUACCGGAUGAGCCGCACGUGAAAGAUUAAUCGCCUGAAGAUGAGCUCGCGUCUGAUUAGCUAGUUGGAGAGGUAAAAGCUCACCAAGGCAACGAUCAGUAGCUGGUCUGAGAGGAUGACCAGCCACACUGGGACUGAGACACGGCCCAGACUCCUACGGGAGGCAGCAGUGGGGAAUUUUCCGCAAUGGGCGAAAGCCUGACGGAGCAAGACCGCGUGAGGGAGGAAGGCUCUUGGGUUGUAAACCUCUUUUCUCAGGGAAGAAGCAAAUGACGGUACCUGAGGAAUCAGCCUCGGCUAACUCCGUGCCAGCAGCCGCGGUAAUACGGAGGAGGCAAGCGUUAUCCGGAAUUAUUGGGCGUAAAGCGUCCGUAGGUGGCUUCUCAUGUCUGUGGU
rnacentral:rRNA from 1 species